AAGAAUUCUCAAGCAAGCUAUCCCUGAGCCACUUACCUGAAUUGGAUUGAAUUUUCCCCAAAGCAGCGUUCGUUCCACAGGCCUUCAGGCCUCCAAGCAGAACUUGCCAUUUGAGUGGGGCCAAGCAGGAAACACAAAGCUGGAAUUUCCUCCCGAAGUUAAUCUGCCAAGGAGCUAAAGUGAGAUCGGAGAGAAUAGCCCUUGUCCAGUUUUCCUGUCAGACACAUCAGUCUCACUUGGAUCUCUCCUGUGCUACGGCAGAAGCCCAUCUGGGAAAAUAGGACCACUACAAGGUCAGGCUUGGUUUUCUUUGGCUCUGAGUCUGGAUUUGGCUGAAUCCAGACAAA